GUACUACUCCAUUCGUUCAGAAUUACUUGUCGCAAAAAUGGAUGUAUCUAGACGUAUUUUAGUUCUAGAUACAUCCAUUUUCGAGACAAGUAAUUCCGAACGGAGGGAGUACGUA
rfam:Triticum urartu cultivar G1812 contig1026694, whole genome shotgun sequence.